GGGCAGAGUGGAGGGAAUUUCCUCUAAAACAGGCACUUUUUGAGGCCACUAAACACCAGGGUUCUGGGAUAAAGCUUCACGUGAGAACAAGAGUCAUUCUGAUGCCUGGUCGGUCCAGGACACAUGGGGAGGAUGAACUAGGGGGCUGGCCAGCGGUACACGUGCAGCAUGUUGAGAGCUGUCAGGGUCGUGGUCAAGGGUCCCUAGGGUUAGGGGUCCUGGGGGGUCAGACUAUGGAGGCGGUGACAGAGCAGCAGAGAACACGGGAUUAGCCAAGGAAUCUUCUGGAAGAAGUCAGAAGGAUUCAGGCCAAGUCCCAGGCGUUGGGUGUGAGCCCAGGAAAUAGUACUGAAGACACAGAUGAGGUGUUGGUAGGACCAGCUUCAUGGACGCUACGUGGGCACAGAGGAUGGGGCAUCCCAGGCUCCGAGUCCUGAGACUGAAUCACUACCACCCACCUACAUGCACACGCUUGACUGUGUCGCCCAGGUGAACACACCUUUGCUGGGAAUUCCUGGUGCCUCCUACGUGCUGAAGCGUGGUGUCUGCAUGGGGUUGAGGACAAGCCUACGGCCAAGUCUCAGGUGGUCCUGUGCCGAAAGCCGCUGAGCCAGGAGGGACCCACAGAGCAGAGCCUCCCUGAACUGGUCCUCCUGAUAACACCUCCCCACCCUUUCUCUCCUCAGCUGGACGGCUGUCCCUGCAUGGCCACCUAGGACAGUUGUCCUUGGCUCCUGGCUGGCAAGCUGACACUGGCCCCGCGGUGCUGGUGGGCUCUUUUCCGGCUCCUUCACUGCAGCCAUUCAGAGCUGGUGCGUGGAGGGUGUAGCCCUGGGUCUGGCGCCCUCCUGUGGUAGCUCCAGCCACAUGCCCAUCUUUCAUUUUUAUGAGCACUUGAUUUGUAUUCAAAUCCCGGUGACAGGAUAACUGAUGCUAAUGGGGAAAAUAUUACUCUCGCUGCUGAAGCGUGCCAGGUGCAGCUGAGUAAGUGCUGGGUAUCCUUCUUGUUUUAAACAAACUGUAAUUUAAUUCAGGAGUUCCAGCUGCUCAGACCCCAGGUUUCCAUGGCAACAGUUUCCCUCCCCUCUUUGGAGUGGGUGCUGUACUGGGGAAUCCACCCGCUUCCCCACAGUCUCCCUCAUGUGCCAAGGCCUCAGAGCCUCCUCCUGCGGGUCUCCCCAGGGACGGAGAGGCAGCUGGCUCAGAAUGCACAGAGGGGCCCUUCCCUGCUUCUCAAGAGCAGGGAUGGAUGUCUUGCUUCCCAUUUCAGUGACCCCUCACCUCCUCUUAGGCCACCCCCGGCAUUUGGGGGCUCUGCUUGGUAGGGGACUUAUAGACAGAGAGUGGUCAGCAGAAUCAAGUCUAUCAAAGAGGCCCACAUCCUUGUCCUGGGAGCUGUGAACCUCUUAGGUCAUGUGGCAAAGGGGAUUAAGGCUGCCAAUCAGCAACUCGGACGUGGAGAGAUUGUCCUGGAUUAUUCAGUGGGGCUGAGUCAUCACAGGGUCCUUGAAAGUGGGGGGUGGAGUCAGAGUCCGAGUCAGAGUGAUGCCCUGUGAGAAAGACUCCAGCUGCACUGCUGGCUCGGAAGGAGGAGCAAGGGGCCGUGAGCCAAGGGAUGAGGGCAGAUUCUAGAAGCUGGAAAGGGGGAAAAGCGAUUCUUCUCCCGAAGGAACCUGCCCAACUCCUUGGUUCUAGGUCCGGCGUGGGGCUCUCCAGGCCCAGGAGGGUGAGUCUGUCCUGGCUGACAUGUUUGGGGUGAUUUGUUGCAGCUGCCCUGAGGGCUGACACAGGGGCUUCCCGGGUCUGGGCCCAGAGGGUGGCUGGUCCGCCUCAUUCCUGAGUCCUGGCUCCUCUCUUUCCUGUGUGCCCCCACAACCGUGCCCGUCACAGCCUGCCUGGCCUCCUCAGGGGCUGGCCUCUCGUCCUCGGCCGGGUCGGCCCCACCCAGUCUAGUGAACCCGGUUCAAUUCCUGUCGCUCCUUCGGCACCAGUGUGCAUGGCUGGCUCCCAGUGCUGCCCACUUUCCCACUCACCACACCCUGU
ensembl:lncRNA